GACGAACGCUGGCGGCGUGCUUAACACAUGCAAGUCGAACGGAAAGGCCCUGCUUUUGUGGGGUGCUCGAGUGGCGAACGGGUGAGUAACACGUGAGUAACCUGCCCUUGACUUUGGGAUAACUUCAGGAAACUGGGGCUAAUACCGGAUAGGAGCUCCUGCUGCAUGGUGGGGGUUGGAAAGUUUCGGCGGUUGGGGAUGGACUCGCGGCUUAUCAGCUUGUUGGUGGGGUAGUGGCUUACCAAGGCUUUGACGGGUAGCCGGCCUGAGAGGGUGACCGGCAAAAUUGGGACUGAGAUCCGGCCCAGACUCCUACGGGAGGCAGCAGUGGGGAAUAUUGCACAAUGGGCGGAAGCCUGAUGCAGCAACGCCGCGGGCGGGAUGACGGCCUUCGGGUUGUAAACCGCUUUCGCCUGUGACGAAGCGUGAGUGACGGUAAUGGGUAAAGAAGCACCGGCUAACUACGU
rnacentral:rRNA from 1 species